AGGACGCUUGGUUAAAGGAAGAGAUUGGGCCUAUCAGAGGAAACGAUGGGAGAAGGCCUAUAAAUUAGGCCCACAUUUGACCCCAAAUUAACCCCUAUUGCCCCAACAUAGACCUCAUCUCGUUAAAGGCAACCAAGUUGGGAUUUUGAGGGUCCAAUGAGGACAAGCUGAAACUCGUCGGAGGGGGAGAAAAGGGGAAAAAGAUGAUUUACCGAAAAUGGAGUUUGCUGACAGGACCAGUCUCCAUCCUUGGCGGAAUCGUUGGAGCCACUGUGGUUGCCCACCUAAUCUUCCUUGACGAUCCAUAUCUUAAACCCAAGAAGAAGACGAUCGACAGAGAAGAAAGAAGUUGACAGUUGCUUUGUUGGUUUGGCAAAUGCAUAGGUUUGUUGAAAAAUACCAAAUCUGGUUGUAAUAUAAUUUGCUUAGCUUAGUAAAAGCUUGAAUGAAUGCAAAGGAACAAUUUGAUUUAGUUACAAGACAGGAAAUUGAAUGUCUCCUAUAAAUGCUGGGGAUUUGUUUGUUCCUCCUGAAAUUAAGGCAAGGAAACUUCUAAGAUUUUCAAUUUUCAA